GGGGGUUCGGCUGUUCGCCGAUUAAAGCGGCACGCGAGCUGGGUUCAGAACGUCGUGAGACAGUUUGGUCUCUAUCCUCUGCGCUCGUUGGAAUCCUGAGGAGGCCUGCCCAUAGUACGAGAGGACCUGGGUGGACGGACCUCUGGUAUGCCGGUUGUCGCGCCAGCGGCAUGGCCGGUUGGCUACGUUCGGGAGGGAUAACCGCUGAAAGCAUCUAAGCGGGAAGCCUGCUCCAAGAUUAGGAUUCCUUGGCACUUCGGUGCCUGUAGCCCGCAUGUGGAACACGUGUUCGAUAGGCCGGAGGUGGAAGCCUUGUGAGGGGUGGAGCCGACCGGUACUAACGGGCGAUCGCGGCACACUU
rnacentral:rRNA from 1 species